rnacentral:tRNA from 1 species
GCCUGGGUGGCUUAGUUGGUUGAGCAUCUGACUUUGGCUCAGGUCAUGAUCUCCCAGUUUGUGAGUUCAAGCCCCGCAUUGGGCU